CAGUCGCCGCGGGAAUACGAAGGGGGCUAGCGUUGUUCGGAAUUACUGGGCGUAAAGCGCACGUAGGCGGAUAUUUAAGUCAGGGGUGAAAUCCCAGAGCUCAACUCUGGAACUGCCUUUGAUACUGGGUAUCUUGAGUAUGGAAGAGGUGAGUGGAAUUCCGAGUGUAGAGGUGAAAUUCGUAGAUAUUCGGAGGAACACCAGUGGCGAAGGCGGCUCACUGGUCCAUUACUGACGCUGAGGUGCGAAAGCGUGGGGAGCAAACAGGAUUAGAUACCCGAGUAGUCCCUGUCUCUUAUAA
rnacentral:rRNA from 1 species